rnacentral:rRNA from 1 species
UGAGGAACAUGACCUUCGGCGGGGGAGUAGCCGGCCCAACGGCCGGGUAAUACCGCGUACGACCACUUUGGGACAUCCCUGGGUGGUGAAAGCAGCAAUGCGCCGAUGGAGUGCCUCGCGGCCUAUCAGCUAGUUGGUGAGGUAACGGCUCACCAAGGCGACGACGGGUAGCUGGUCUGAGAGGAUGGCCAGCCACAUUGGGACUGAGACACGGCCCAGACUCCUACGGGAGCAG